CCCUUAGAUGUCCUGGGCCGCACGCGCGCUACAAUGACUUAUUCAGAAAGUUUACCUGGUUCGGAAGAAUUCAGGGUAAUCUUUGUAAUACAAGUCGUGUUAGGGAUCGAUCUUUGCAAUUAUAGAUCUUGAACGAGGAAUGCCUAGUAAGCGCAGUUCAUCAGGCUGUGCUGAUUACGUCCCUGCCCUUUGUACACACCGCCCGUCGCUCCUACCGAUUUCGAGUGGUCCGGUGAACCAUCUGGAUUUGAUCGCAAGAUUCGAGAAGUUUAGUAAACCUUAUCACUUAGAGGAAGGAGAAGUCGUAACA
rnacentral:rRNA from 1 species